CCUGUUUGCGGGUGGUGUUGGCGUAUGCAAUCUUUUGUACAACUGAACGACUCUCGGCAACGGAUAUCUCGGCUCUUGCAUCGAUGAAGAACGUAGCGAAAUGCGAUACUUGGUGUGAAUUGCAGAAUCCCGUGAACCAUCGAGUCUUUGAACGCAAGUUGCGCCUGAGGCCAGUAGGCUGAAGGCACGCCUGCCUGGGCGUCAUGCAUUGCGUCACCCGCUCCGUCGUGCCUAAGCGUGCAUGUCGGGAUGUGGGAGGAUGUUGGCCCCCCGUUUGCGCUUGGUGGUCGGUUGGCCUAAAAGGGAGUUCCCGACGAUGGACAUCACGACAAGUGGUGGUUGCAAAAAUUGUCGCUUCGUGUUUGUGGAUGCCAUUGUUAGUCGCUGGUUGGCUCGUUGACCCUAGAGGUG
rnacentral:rRNA from 1 species